rnacentral:hammerhead_ribozyme from 1 species
AUGCAGCUGACGAGUCCAAAAUAGGUCGAAACGCGCGUCCUGAAU